rnacentral:rRNA from 1 species
AGAGUUUGAUCCUGGCUCAGGAUGAACGCUAGCGGCAGGCCUAAUACAUGCAAGUCGAACGGUAAAUCCCUUCGGGGGAUUGAGAGUGGCGCACGGGUGCGUAACGCGUAUGCAACCACCCGCUGCCGGGGGAUAGCCCGGAGAAAUUCGGAUUAAUACCCCAUGAGGAGCGAGGACGGCAUCGUCUUUGUUUCAAAACUUCGGUGGCGGCGGACGGGCAUGCGUGCCAUUAGAUAGUUGGCGGGGUAACGGCCCACCAAGUCGACGAUGGCUAGGGGAUCUGAGAGGACCGGUCCCCCACACUGGUACUGAGACACGGACCAGACUCCUACGGGAGGCAGCAGUAAGGGAUAUUGGUCAAGUGGGGGGAACCCUGAACCAGCCAUCGCCGCGUGAGGGAAUAAGGCCCUACGGGUCGUAAACCUCUUUUGCCGGGGGAUAAGGAUAGUCACGUGUGACUAUUUGAAGGUACCCGGAGAAUAAGCAUCGGCUAACUCCGUGCCAGCCGCUGC